CUUGAGACUUGUGCGUUCAAUGGUUAGUAUUAUAAUUUUUGUAAUGAUAUAUAUAAAAUGUUUAUUCCUGGAGCAAGUCCUUGUUGGUGUGUGACUUAUUUCUGGUUGUUUGUUUACAAUAGUAGUCUUUCAGAUUUUAUUUUGGUUUUACACUUUUCUUGGACCUUUUAAUCUUUUCUUGGACCUUUUAAUCAUUGGACGAGACAAAUGCCUUGGAAGCUUUAUGGAUCUUACACUGGUCAUUUUUGUUAGUUGACAAGUGACUUCUACACAGACUUUGGAUUAUCUGCUAGAUCUGUUUUCUAUGCAACUGAUUUUACAUCAAGACCUAAACCAUUGUCAGUUUGUCACCUCUCGCUUAAGCUAAAGCUACUGUAUAUUGAAAAAUUGAUCUUAACAGAGAAUAAGACAUUAAACGAAUCUUUUUCUUACCAUCCCUUUGGCUUCUGGUGAGCUUUCUACUACCCUGUUUAUUGUACUCUUCUCUAAAUAUC
rnacentral:misc_RNA from 1 species